rnacentral:hammerhead_ribozyme from 1 species
AUCCAACUGACGAGUCCCCAAUAUAACGAAACGCUCGUCAUGUAU